CGUCCUGUCUUGCUCGACCGUACUCUUAUGAACCGGGUCAGGCCUUGAUCGGAGCAGCCCUAAGUAGGAAGUAUGGUGCUUGCAGGGUCGCAGGACCG
rnacentral:SRP_RNA from 1 species